GGACUACCCGGGUUUCUAAUCCUGUUUGCUCCCCUAGCUUUCGUGCAUCAGCGUCAGUUAUGGUCCAGUGAGCCGCUUUCGCCACAGGUGUUCCUCCUGAUAUCUACGCAUUUCACCGCUACACCAGGAAUUCCACUCACCUCUCCCAUACUCAAGCCCUGCAGUUUCUCAUGCAGUCUAUGAGUUGAGCCCAUAGAUUUCACAUAAGACUUACAAAACCGCCUACGCACCCUUUACGCCCAAUAAUUCCGAACAACGCUCGCCCCCCUCGUAUUACCGCGGCUGCUGGCAC
rnacentral:rRNA from 1 species